UAUUUCCUCCAGCAGUGCUGGCCUCGAGCCCAAGGAAAAAAUGCACUAGUACUUUCCACCCAGCCUGGAGGGGCCUUUGGUAGAAUCUGGUGGAGCUGCAGUAAAGGCGGACAGGCGGGCAGCCCCCUGGACCAUCUCUUGGACAACAUCGCCAUCAUUCUCAAAAUCUCCCUCCUCCCCUCGGGUCUUCCUGAAUUAAUCGGGGAGCAGCGAUGGCUUCACUCAACCCCACUCAGCGUAAGGAAAGGAAUUCCAACACUGUGUGUCAGCCUUCUCCCGUCAUCCAAGUAGCCACCUCCCUUACCUCUGGCAGGAUGAAGGAAAUUCCUACGUGGGAGUCAUGAAGUUGUUCAUUCAUUUAUUCCGUCAUCCAUCUGAGGAGCUCUGUGGAGUGCAGUGGUAAAGAAUGUGAGCCUUGGAGCCUGACAGACUGAGUCCAAAUCACAGCUCUGCCGUGAUUCGCUGUGUGACAUUGGCAAGUUGCUUCACCUCUCUGAGCCUCA